ensembl:snRNA Gm27393 U7 small nuclear RNA
AGCUAUUACAGCUCUUUUAGAAUUUUCUUUAGCAGGUUUUCAUAUUUUGGUGGAAAACCCAA